rnacentral:lncRNA from 1 species
AAUCCAUGGGUAACAAGGAAUUUUGAUAGGAGGAGACUACGAAGGCUAUAAAAAGGGGUCUAGGCAUAUAAGAAAAAUUAUCCAAGAGAGGAGAGGCAUAAAGGGAGCAGCAAGCAAGCUUUGAGUUGCGGGAAGGCUUCUAAGAAAGAGGUGCUUAGAAAAGAGCUUUGUUCCUGUACUAUCUCCAUGCCUACACCAUCUUGAAGAUCAGAUCCAA